GAUGAACGCUGGCGGCGUGCCUAAUACAUGCAAGUCGAGCGAACAGACGAGGAGCUUGCUCCUCUGACGUUAGCGGCGGACGGGUGAGUAACACGUGGAUAACCUACCUAUAAGACUGGGAUAACUUCGGGAAACCGGAGCUAAUACCGGAUAAUAUAUUGAACCGCAUGGUUCAAUAGUGAAAGACGGUUUUGCUGUCACUUAUAGAUGGAUCCGCGCCGCAUUAGCUAGUUGGUAAGGUAACGGCUUACCAAGGCAACGAUGCGUAGCCGACCUGAGAGGGUGAUCGGCCACACUGGAGCUGAGACACGGUCCAGACUCCUACGGGAGGCAGCAGUAGGGAAUCUUCCGCAAUGGGCGAAAGCCUGACGGAGCAACGCCGCGUGAGUGAUGAAGGUCUUCGGAUCGUAAAACUCUGUUAUUAGGGAAGAACAAAUGUGUAAGUAACUAUGCACGUCUUGACGGUACCUAAACAGAAAGCCACGGCUAACUACGUG
rnacentral:rRNA from 1 species